CAUGUGUUUAGAUUUUUUUAUUGAAAUUUCGGAGUUUUCGUGAGGUAAUCUUUCUUAUGCUGGGAAUGAAGGCAGUGCGUAUGAUCACUUGAUAUGAGAGACACAUCCUGUUUUUAAAGGUGGAUCAUGAGUGAAGCUCUGAUGGUCGGCCAUUGACUUGAUAACAGUGGUUUAUGUUUAUUCAAUUUAUGAAUAAAUCUCUCGCCAACCAUUCACCUAUUUACUGACAAAACAGAUCCAAAUCUUGUUCAGCCUGAUGCUCAUCCUUCUAUGAUGAUGACCACUGCAAGGUGAUGGGAAUCUGUGGUUCUCACAGCCUGCGGCUCAAGAUCAACAUGACAACAGCAGUCAUCUCUUAUCUUACUCUUAUCUGACUAAAUGUUCAACCUCAUUGUCACAAAACAAAGAAUAUUGGAUGGAGUAUGUACUGUACAAUGAUCCAGCAAACAAAAUAAUUUGGACUUUUUUGGCAAGAUUCUACAAACAUUGAC